GUUCCAGGCUUUGUGCUGGGCCCAGGGGCCACAAAGUAAGCAAGAGAGCCAUCGUCCCUGCCCUCAUGGAGCUCCAGCCCAAGGGACAGCAGCUUAUCCUACGCCAAGGGGCUCCUCUCAAAAUUCCCACAGCAGUAGUGAUCUAAGGACCUGGGCAGGGGCACUGGACUUCAAGUCUCAGCCUCUGGAUGUAGCAGAAGCGACGCUGUGUGAGUUCCCAGGCUGAGGCUGCAGAGAUUUGAGGCAUCUUCUCUCACCCAGCUUGAAGUCCUUCCCCUUGGAAGCCAGUCACCGUGAAAAAACUCACCAUGCUGUGAGGAAGCCCAAGAGAGCUGCAUGGAGAGAAGGGCCUGUGGAAGAGCUCUGAGGUGCCACUCACAUGAAGUGAGCCUUUGUGGACCUUCCAGCCCAGCCACCAGCAAACACAACCCAGUAAGUGUCCCCAGUCAAUGCUUCUCUCCAUAGGAGACCUGUAAAUGGGCGGUGGGGGGAGGAAUUUUCUGGUCUCACACACUAUUAUGGGUUGAAUUUUCCCCCUCCCAAAUUCUUGUGUUGAAGCUCCCACCUCCAGUACUUUACAAAGUAACAUAUUUGGAGAUAAGAUCUUUUUUUUUUUUUUUUUUGAGACGGAGUCUUGCUGUGUCACUCAGGCUGGAGUGCCAUGGUGCAAUCUCGGCUCACUGCAACCUCUGCUUCCCAGGCUCAAAUGAUAUCUUCUCGCCUCCAUCAUUCAUUCAUUCAC
rnacentral:lncRNA from 1 species